GAUGAACGCUGGCGGCGUGCCUAAUACAUGCAAGUCGAGCGAACGGACGAGAAGCUUGCUUCUCUGAUGUUAGCGGCGGACGGGUGAGUAACACGUGGAUAACCUACCUAUAAGACUGGGAUAACUUCGGGAAACCGGAGCUAAUACCGGAUGAUAUUUUGAACCGCAUGGUUCAAAAGUGAAAGACGGUCUUGCUGUCACUUAUAGAUGGAUCCGCGCUGCAUUAGCUAGUUGGUAAGGUAACGGCCUACCAAGGCAACGAUGCAUAGCCGACCUGAGAGGGUGAUCGGCCACACGGGAACUGAGCCACGCUCCAGACUCCUACGGGAGGCAGCAGUAGGGAAUCUUCCGCAAUGGGCGAAAGCCUGACGGAGCAACGCGGCGUGAGUGAUGAGGGUCUUCGGAUCGUAAAACUCUGUUAUUAGGGAAGAACAUAUGUGUAAGUAACUGUGCACAUCUUGACGGUACCUAAUCAGAAAGCCACGGCUAACUACGUG
rnacentral:rRNA from 1 species